ACGAACGCUGGCGGCGUGCUUAACACAUGCAAGUCGAACGGAAAGGCCCUGCUUUUGUGGGGUGCUCGAGUGGCGAACGGGUGAGUAACACGUGAGUAACCUGCCCUUGACUUUGGGAUAACUUCAGGAAACUGGGGCUAAUACCGGAUAGGAGCUCCUGCUGCAUGGUGGGGGUUGGAAAGUUUCGGCGGUUGGGGAUGGACUCGCGGCUUAUCAGCUUGUUGGUGGGGUAGUGGCUUACCAAGGCUUUGACGGGUAGCCGGCCUGAGAGGGUGACCGGCCACAGUGGGACUGAGAUACGGCCCAGACUCCUACGGGAGGCAGCAGUGGGGAAUAUUGCACAAUGGGCGGAAGCCUGAUGCAGCAACGCCGCGUGCGGGAUGACGGCCUUCGGGUUGUAAACCGCUUUCGCCUGUGACGAAGCGUGAGUGACGGUAAUGGGUAAAGAAGCACCGGCUAACUACGU
rnacentral:rRNA from 1 species